rnacentral:lncRNA from 1 species
UUAUCUGAAUUUAGCAGGAAACAAUUUCAGUGGAAGCAUACCAAAAGAGCUGGGGAAUUGUGAGCGCUUGUUGAGCUUGAACUUGGGCAACAAUGAUUUGUCCGGUGAAAUACCUUCAGAGCUUGGAAACUUGUUGACCUUGCAGUACCUUUUGGAUCUCAGUAGCAAUUCGCUCUCUGGGACAAUCCCUUCAGACCUGGGGAAGCUUGCCUCAUUGGAGAACCUGAAUGUCUCACAUAAUCAUCUCACAGGGAGAAUCUCAUCAUUAUCAGGCAUGGUCAGUCUAAACUCCUCUGAUUUCUCAUACAAUGAACUGACAGGUUCAAUCCCAACUGGCGAUGUCUUCAAGCGGGCAAUUUAUACUGGAAACUCGGGUUUGUGUGGAGAUGCAGAAGGAUUAAGUCCUUGUUCUUCAAGUUCCCCAAGCAGCAAGUCAAACAAUAAAACCAAGAUUCUAAUUGCUGUCAUUGUUCCAGUCUGUGGCCUCUUAUUACUUGCAAUUGUUAUUGCUGCAAUUCUUAUACUUCGAGGACGAACUCAACACCAUGAUGAAGAGAUCGAUAGUCUAGAAAAGGAUCGGAGUGGCACGCCCUUGAUUUGGGAAAGACUGGGAAAAUUCACAUUUGGGGAUAUUGUGAAAGCCACUGAAGACUUCAGCGAUAAGUACUGUAUUGGAAAAGGAGGAUUUGGGACUGUUUACAAAGCGGUAUUACCAGAGGGUCAAAUUGUUGCGGUUAAAAGACUCCAUAUGUUAGACUCCAGCGACCUUCCAGCAACAAAUAGGCAGAGUUUUGAGAGUGAAACUGUCACUCUGAGAGAAGUUCGGCAUAGGAAUAUCAUUAAACUUCAUGGGUUCCAUUCCAGGAAUGGAUUCAUGUACUUAGUGUAUAACUACAUAGAGAGAGGUAGUUUGGGGAAAGCACUAUAUGGGGAGGAAGGGAAAGUGGAGCUGGGGUGGGCCACAAGAGUUACGAUUGUGCGGGGAGUGGCUCAUGCGCUUGCUUACUUACAUCAUGACUGCUCUCCGCCCAUUGUCCAUCGUGAUGUUACUCUGAACAAUAUCUUGCUGGAGUCAGAUUUUGAGCCACGGCUCUCAGACUUUGGCACAGCGAGAUUGUUGGACCCGAAUUCAUCCAACUGGACUGCAGUUGCAGGGUCUUAUGGCUACAUUGCCCCAGGUAAACUGAAGAUUAUUUUUAUCCAUUCUGUUUUAUAUUAGUUGAUCAGAAUGUGUUUUUAGGAAGCUCAUUUUGUUUUCUUGAUUUGCAGAGCUUGCACUUACAAUGAGGGUCACGGACAAGUGCGAUGUGUAUAGCUUUGGGGUGGUGGCAUUGGAAGUGAUGCUGGGAAGGCACCCAGGGGAGCUCCUACUUUCGCUGCAUUCUCCAGCAAUAUCUGAUGAUUCAGGGUUGUUCUUGAAGGACAUGCUAGAUCAGAGGCUCCCAGCUCCCACAGGCCGACUGGCAGAGGAAGUGGUGUUUGUGGUCACGAUAGCCUUGGCAUGCACGCGUGCCAAUCCUGAGUCACGCCCCACCAUGCGCUUCGUUGCACAAGAACUCUCUGCUCAAACCCAGGCUUGCCUAUCUGAGCCAUUCCACACUACAACCAUGGGCAAGCUAACAAGCUUUCAGAAGUAGGUCGAAUUGGUUUAACAUCCUUACAUUUAUAUUGUUCACAAUGGUUCAUGAACUCGAGUAGCUGAAUAGUGCUGUGUGUGCUACCUCUCAUGUAGCUGGGAUGACUUGUCCUAGUCAUCUAGGUCUUUAAGGUGGUAUAUGAUUGUGUAUGGUUACACAUUGAAAAUGACAAAUGAACAUGUCUAUUGCUAUUUGAGUGAUGUGUUCUUUUAAAUACUAUUUUUGUAGGAGUUUUUAACCUUGAGGGGUACUUGGGCUAGUGUUUGGCUUAGUGAUCAAUUUGAGUCACAUUGGAGUGAGACCCACAUAUAUAUAUUCUGAUGAUCUUGAGUGGUUGUUGAUUCAACAUGUAAACUGUGUAUACGUAAGAUGGACUUCAUAAUAUCUUGCUGAGGACAAUAUUUUUCUUUUUAGUAAUUCUAAGGUGCAUGAUUAAGGUAAAUCCUUGGUGAGGGUAAUUUUAUUUGAUUAUUGGAAUUGAUGUUUUAUCCUUCUAGGAUAUGGUAACAUCAAUUGUUUUAUCAUGACAAAUGUGAAUUUCUAACUCAAAGGCUAAAGAUGGAAUUUAUUAGUGGAUCACACAUACUAAUUGAAUCAUGAAUAUGAGUUCAUGGGAAACAAAUACAUUGAUUAGUAGUGUGUGGGACAACUAUUAACUUUAUGUAAUUAGAUGUAAUUAGUGAAGUGUAGUCAAAUGACUUUAAUGGAGUCAACCAUUGGUGGCCAUUGGUUGGAGCUUGAAGAGAGUGAAUAUAAGUAAGGAUUACCGAACCACUAUAAAACUUAAAUUUGCUUUUUCUAUCCCUUAUCUCUUUAUAUUCAUUACUCUAUAAUUGUCUAAAUUUAUUUUGUUUUCCAAAAGUUUUUAGAAACCCAAUUCAAUUCCUUCCUAGGUGAUUGUAUGAAUUAAUUAGCUUUCAAAUUCACACUAUAUAUAAAAUAAGCGAAAAUAUGAAAUAAUAUAUUUUAUUUCAUGUUUAAUUCACAAUCAAAUUUAAGUUAUCUCAUCACUUUCUAAAUUUUAAAUAUUUUAAUUAUGAAUAUUAUUAAUAAAGAAAUAAAAAAUUACACACUAAAUUAUAAUUCUAAAUAAUACCCGAUUGACAUGUGAGAUAUUUCAAUAUUCUUUAAUAAACUUUCAAUUAAACAAAUAUUACAUUUUCAUUCAAUUUUUUUUGAGAUAUCAUUUCCAUUAAAUAUAAUAUGCACGUAUAUUAUGUCUCACUAAAAUGAUAUUUUACCAUAUACAUAGUUAUUAAACAUGGCCUAAAAUUAUUUGAUAAGGAAAGACGAGACUAGUAAAGCUUUUUAAUAUGGCUGAAUCAAAGAUGAACAUAAAUUAGUAUUGGAGAAUUUAUUUUAUUUGAAGGCAUCAAAGAGGGAAGGAUAGAAAUUUCAUUAAAUUAAAAAGAAGUCCUCAGCCUAAAUUUGGUUGAUGGGAUAUAGUCAUGACUUUCCUUAUCAAAUAAUGUUCAGUUGAUAACUAUUUAUUAAAUUAGUUUUCUAUUUUUUAGAAAAAAAAAACUACGAUUAACCAAAAAGAAAAAAAGAAUACUUUAAUAUUCUUAAAAGUAGAAAACAUGUUGUUUUAAUAAAACAUCUUUAAUUUUCUUGAUUGUUUUCACUUGUUUUUUAAGGAUGAUUUGAAUAAAUAAUCAUACAAAUACGACAAACAAUUAACAAUAAAAUAUUACAUAUAAAAGUUAUUUUUAAAAUAUAUUUAAAAACAUAAAAAAUAUGUUACAUAUAUUUUAGAUUCUUAAAUAAAGUUUUAUUUUACAAAACAUAAAAUGAAAGAGAAUAAUUUUUAAAAAUUGUUUUUUAAAAAUAUUUUUGAAAACACUUACAGUAUAUAUAACCUUAGUAACUUAAUAGCACUCAAAGAUAAUGCAAGACAGACUAAGUUUACAUAAUUGGAUAAAAGACUACUUCCAAAAGUAGAAAAACCAAAACAAGUUUUGAAAACGAGCCCUCCAAAAUUGUUAGAUCUCAGCAAUAAUGAUUCAACAAAGAUAAAAUGAUCAAGCCUUAAGCUAGCGUGUGUGGGAAGCUUUGCUCCAUGUGUCCUUCCCAAGCUCAAGACCUUUUGGUUAUCCAAGGUAAAUAAAUAAUUCGUCUGGGAUCAAUCUGUCUGAUUCAAGUUAAGCUCUGUCUGGUGCAAGAGGAGAGAUAUAUUUCAUUCUUCCUCAAUGUUAAACAAAAUGGACAGACCAAGCUGACUAGGACUUCCAGAUAGACAAACCAACCCAACAGGAAAUUCCAAGCAUUGGACAAAUGAUUAAUCACACCCAAUGCUUGAGCAACAAUCUAGAUGGCAUUUACACGAAAAAACCAAUGUUAAUAAGUCGUUACACACAAUCAGCGACAUUGAAAAACGUAAAUGCACAGUCAACGAUAUGGUUCGAGAUUCUUGCACGACAACCAACAAAUGACACCAAUCAGCAACUCUUGUUUGGUAUGAUUGUCUAGUCUGCACUAAGAUGAUGGCGUUGAUUACCUUAUAAAGGCUUAGUAUUUGCCACGAUGACGAUCAUCAAUGCAAGAAAGGCAUGAAUGCACAAUCAACGCUAUGAGAAUGACGUCAUAUGUUCUAUAAAAACCACUCGAGAAGCAUGAAAAAGAUACACGCAUGUAUAGCCAUUCAAAACAGUUGGAUUCACUCUUACUAGAUUCUGACUUAAGUUUUGGAAAGGCGUGCCUAGACCACCUGUCUAGACAUCCUUUUGUGUAGGGAAGAAGUUCGACUGACUCCAAUGAAGCUAGACAAACCUAUAUCUAGUUGACACAACACCAACAUUGGUGUCGUUUGUGGGAACCAACUAAGAAUGUCAACACCCUCUAGAAACCAAUCAUUAGCUAUGGGUGACAAAGAUUGUUUUGUCUGGUGCAAAAGGAUGAAGAGAUGCCAACAAGAAAAUGAGUGGUGGAUGUAGACUUUGCUUUGCCAAAUAGAAUGACUAAGAAAAAAGAACAAAGAAUUAUGGGCUAAAAUGUCAACAAUAGGCAUUUUUUAAAGUCGGCACACUCAAAACCGACAAACAGCCUCAAAACAAACUAUUGAGGCAUCUUUCCUCGGGGGCACAUAGUUCUCAUCCGACAGCUACUCAAGACGAUCCUAUGAGGAGCCUUCACCAACUCGUCAAAACUAGUCGACAAAGGCACCAACUUCACUUGGGCAUCAAGGAAAAAAAGAUGCAGUAGAGGGUCACAUUUAUCUGACGCGAUGCGAGUCCGACUAGGACCUCAAGCACCAAGCAUGGAGGGAUAACAACGUAUGUUAGAGACCUUAAGGGCAUGUCUAGGUCAGCUAGCCAUAACAAAUACAUCUGGAUGACCCUCUCAACUACCAAAGUAGCAGCAGGCGAACAUAUUGGUGACGCGAGCCCCACCUUACUCUAUCAGCCGACGGUUGGAUGACAUACUCACCACACCAUUCAACCCCCAUAUCAUUAACUACGAGCAGCCUAGAGGGUUCAUAGUGCCCAAGUUCAUAAUGUACAACAUAAAGAGUGACCCAUUUGACCACACCAUGCACUUCAAGAAGCUUAUGACCCUUGGCAUAGGAAUGAUGCAUUGAUGUGCAAGGUCUCUACAACCAGCCUACAUGGUCAAGCUCUCUCUUGGUUCCAUCAUCUCCCGUAGAAUUUCAUGAACACUUUUCGGGAUGUCUCAGAUGUCUUUUUAGGCCAUUUCCUAUGUUCUACUCACCAAAAGCAUAACAUAAGCACCCUACGGAACAUCAAGUUGCAGGAAAAUGAAAUGCUAAGGUACUUCAUGAAGCGAUUUGGGCAAAUAGUGCUCCAAGUUGAAUCCUGUAGUAUGGACGCCAUUUUUCAAGUGAAGUAUUAGCCCGGGCACACCAUUUUUUGAGUCUCUUGAGAAGAAGCCGAUUACAAUGAUGGAUAUCCUAUUUAGUUUAGUGGACAAGUAUUCUAUACUCGAAGAUGAUGUCCAAGAAGCCUUUCAACAAGUCUUGGUCACUAAUCAUCCGACCAAGAAUGAUAAAGCGGGGAGUUCUAAGCCCUCGAACCAAUUGAGGCAAUGUAACAAGAGGUGAGAUGACCAACAAUAGCAACAAGUGAGACUCACCCUUCUAAGCAUUUCCUAUGAGAGACUCCUCCCACAGAUUUGGCUAGACAGGACUGAAACAAAAGGUGCUCCUACCAUAAGGAUCAUGGUCAUACCACCGAACAAUGCAAGAGUUUGUAUUACUUGGUGAAGAAACUUAUUAAGAUCGAGAACCUUAAGUAGUACGUUCGCACAACCAACGGGCAAAGAGAUAUGACACUAGAGGUAACUGUCUAAGCCUUUGCAUCUUUGGAAGCUUCCAGAGUUGUCAUUAACUAUAUACACGGAGGUCCAAUAGCCGAUAAACACUACUUUAGACAGCAAAGGUGAAGGUUGCUUCACGUGGCUUCUAUAAGAGAACAUAUUAACUUUGUUCAAUGCACCUUCGCAGAAGGAAGUGUGCAUCCAGUAGACAGCAUAAUCACCUUCUUUCCAUUGGAUGUUGUAAUCGCAUGAAGAUGCCUUGAUCCUAACAUUGGGGGUAAGUGGAUUUGACGUGUGGAAAAUCCUAGUUGAUCCGAGCAGUUUAACUAACCUUUCUCAAAUGUCGAACUAUAGGCAAAUGGGCUACUCGUCAUCUGUCAUAGAAAAUCCAGGACGUCUGUUGUCUGGAUUCAAUGAAGCUACAACAACCUCUUUGUGCGAUGUUGUGUUGUCCGUUCAAGUUGGCUCGGUCACAUUGGGCAUGCAGUUCUCGGUGGUUGACGAUUUGUCUCUAUACAAUGCCAUUAUGGGAUGUGCAUGGCUUCACAAAAUGAAAGUCAUUCCUUCUAUAUACCAUCAAAUGGUGAGCUACCUCAUAGAAUAUGGACAAGUUGAUCUCCUUGACAACCAGCUAGCCGCGCGACAAUGCUAUUAGGUGGUGCUAGAAUCCGAAUAUUCGACUGAUAAAUAGGCGCAUUCAAACCCAUCAACUACAAGGAAGCAAUAGCAGUUACUAAGUCUAGCCGAAAAAGAUCCAUCUACGAUUGAACUCCAGCCACUGCUCAUCUAGCAUGGCACAAAUCAAAUCACCUAUACCAGUUCCCUGUUUGUGCAAGAUGAACUAGAACUGCUAAGAAAUAUGUUUUAGCGCAAUAAGAACAUAUUUGCUUAUACUCACUCGAACAUGCCGGAAAUCCAUCCGGUCAUGGCCUCCCACAAGCUUAACGUCUCACCCACCUCGCGACCUAUCCGACAAAAGAUCCAACAUUUUCAUCCGAACAGAAAAAAAAUCAUCCAGAUAGAAAUUGAAAAACUAUUGGUAGUUAGAUUCAUCAGAAAAUUCAAAUAUCUGGAUUGAUUGACGAACGUGGUGGUAGUCCCAAAGAAAUAUGGAAGGUAGCGAGUCUGCGUUGAUUACACUAACCUGAAUGACGUCUACCCAAAUAAUUGCUUUUUCUUGCCCCGAAUAGAUCAAAUAGUUGAUGCCACCAUCGGACAUGGGAUGCUCUCCUUUCUAGACGUCUGUUUUGGAUACCACCAAAUCCCUAUGUUUUAGCUAGACGAGGAGAAAAAAACCUUUGUCACACCACAAGGGUUGUAUUGUUACAAAAUCAUGUUGUUUGGACUCAAGAAUGCUGACGCUACUUACCAGAGACUAAUGAAAAAAUAUUCAAGCCCCUGAUCGGCCGAACGGUGGAAGUCUACAUUGAUGACAUUGUUGUAAAGAGCGAAACCCAAGUUGAGCACAACCAACACCUAGAAGAAGGAUUCCGUCUGUUGCGGGCAUACAACAUGAAGCUCAAUCCCACUAAAUGUGCCUUUGGCGUCAAUGCAAGGAAGUUUCCAAGGUUUAUGGUAACCCAAAGAGGAUUUGAAGUUAAUUAAGCUCAAGUGAAAGUCGUCAUCGAAACACUCUCUACAAACAGUAAAAGGAAUUGCAACGUCUCACAGGUCGUCUCGCAGAUUUGGGUCAUUUCAUAGCUUGUUUCAUAGAUAAGUUAAGACAUUUCUUCCUCACACUUAAAGGGGUAAGCACGUUCGAUUGGAUAGACGAGUGUAAGUAGACAUUUCAAGUAGUCAAGUGUUAUCACUAAACCGCCCAUUUUAAGCCCCAAGUUCGACGAAUAACUCUACAUGUAUUUGGCCCUAUCUGACUGCGUUGUCAAUGUCGUCCUAUUUAUGUAUAUACGAGAUAGAGAGUAGAGACCCAUCUAUCAUGUGAGAAAAGCAAUGGUGGAUACUAAGACUCGGUAUUCCCAAGUAGAGCAAACUGAUUUAGCACUAUAGAGUGUUACUCGAAAGCUCCGCCAUACUUUCAGACUCAUCAAGUGACCAUACUUACAAACCGGCCGCUCUGAGUCACUUUGCACAAGUCAGACCUAUCUGGAUGAAUGUUCAAAUAGGCAAUCAAGUUGAGUAUGGGAUCGAGUAUCAAUCGCGGUUAUCCUUAAAGGGGCAAGUAAUAGUUGACUUCAUAGUUGAACUCCCUAAAAAAAAACACAUUUGGCCGACCACUUUGGAGAGCAAUGGUAGACACUUCAUGUAGACGGAUCGUCUAAGGUGUUUGGAUCCGGAGUAGGUCUGGUCCUGCAAUCACCAACCAUGGAACUAAUAGAGCAAGUUAUUCGUCUCAGCUUCUCGACUUCCAACAACGAGACAUAAUAUAAAGCUAUGCUAGCUGGGCUAGAUCUUGCCCUUAUGUUAGUUGCAACCAAGUUGGAAAUCAAGAGCGACUCUCAGCUAAUUGUUGAGCAGAUUCAACAAGACUACAAAGCAAAAGAUGAAUGUAUGACCCAAUACCUCGCCAUGGUGGAAGAACACUUGAAAAAGCUAAACGAUUGGAUCAUUAGACCGACACCACAAGAAGAGAACGGAAAAGCCGAUGCAUUGGUCAGAAUAGUUGCCACUCUUCCUAUAAAUGAGACGAUAAUGUUGCCCAUCUACCUCAAAGUCAUGCCUUCAAUCACUUUAGAGUCAGUAUGCAAUACCAAUGAAGAAGACUCAAGAUGGAUGCUCGACAUCAUAAAAUACCUCUAGACAGGAGAAGUACCAAAAGACGGGAAGUAAGCACAUAAACUUCGCAUACAAGUAGUACCCUUUACUUUAAUUAAUGAUCAACUUUAUUAAUGAUCAUUCGAAAGCCCAUACCUAAAGUGUUUGAGUGAGUUAGAGACCAAAUAUGUCUUAGUUGAAUUCCAUGAGGGCGUAUGUGACAAUUACCCAGAUGGAUACCACGCUUACACGCAAGGAUACUAUUAACCCCCAUGAAGCAAGACGCUAAAAGGUAUGUCAAAAAAAUGCAAUCAAUGUCAAUCACACGCUCCUAUUCCUCGUGUACCUUUGGAAGCCCUCAACCUGGUCACAAGUCCUUGGCCAUUUGUGUAGUGGGGGUGGACAUAGUCGGCCCCUUACCCACUGGAGCAGCAUAAAAGAUGUUUCUACUUGUUGCAACUAACUACUUCAGCAAAUGGGUAAAGGCAGAAGCCUAUGUCAGUAUCAAAGACAAAGAUGUCUCCAAGUUCAUCUGGAAAAACAUCGUAUGUCGAUUCAGAAUUCCACGAGCAAUCAUAACGAAUAAUGGACCCCAGUUUGACAACGCCGUCUUUCGAACAUUUUGCUCAAAGCUAGACAUCAAGAAUUUGUACUCAACACCCUUGUUAUCCACAAAGCAACAGAUAAGUAGAGGAGACAAACAAAACCCUAUUGAAUGCAUUAAAAAAAAUGUUGGAAUGAGCGAAAGGAAAAUGGGUAGAUGAGUUGCUCGGAGUUGUAUAGGCUUACCGAAUAACAUCCAGAUGGUCAACAUGAGCUACUCCUUUCACCCUUACUUAUCAGAUGGAAGCCAUCAAUCCAAUCGAAAUUGGCAUGCCUACUGCCAAAACAGCUAUGGAAGGUCAAAGGGACGACGAUGAAGAACUCAUAUGACAAUUGGAUUAAGCUGACGAAAAGUGAGGAAAUGUAGCUAUCUGGAUGGCUUCUUACUAUCAGAGGACAAUUGCUCAGUACAGCAAAAGAGCAUGACCACUGUUUUUCCAACCAAGAUCUUUAGUUCUCAGAAGAGCCUUCAAAAACACAAUUAAAGUGGGAGUCAGAAAGCUACAACUUGAAGUAAUUUUACUUUGAAAUUCACUUAAGACACGAUACCAUUAACUAUUAAAAAAAAAAAUCAAUUUCAUAAAAUCUUCAAAACAUAAAAUAAUUCUUCGACAUCCAAAAAGUUGAAAUUCAUUAUAACCUUUAAUUCGUUAAUUUUACCAACAUUUAUUUACCAACAAAAAUCUAAACAAUAUUUUGAAACUUAAUUUCACCAAUUAUUUAGUAAUUAAAUUUAUAAUAAUCAAAUUCUCAACCCUUCUAUAACUUUUAUUUAAUUUACUUUAUUUGUCAAAUUCUUGAAUUGAAUCAAACUUUUAAAAAUUAAAUUCACUAAAUUCACAUUUAAUUAAUUUAUCCUUUUGUAUGCUUUUCUAAAUUCAUAUAUCAUAAUUUAAUCUUAAAUUAAUUUCAAUUCUAUUUGAUGUUAUAUCAUUUUAUAAGAUUUAAUUCCAAUUAUAAAAAUUAAACUGAUUCAUUAUAAAAUUAAAUUCAAUUUCUUUUUAACAAUCCAUUCUGACAAUUCAUAUAAUAUAAAUUUUUACCAAGUUUUUCUCAUUACGAUUCUCCGACAAUUACCCAAUAAUAAUUAAAUUAAUUCUUACAAUAUACUUAAUAUUCAAAUUUUCAAAAUUUAAUAUCAAUUAUUUGAUGUUUAAAUUUUUCCCCUAAUUUAAAUUUAGUUUUUAAAAUUCCUACUUUUUAAAUUUGAUGUGGCAAGAUUUUCAAACUAUUGAUUUUUGAUCAAUUUUUUUCUCAAAAUUUUUCCUAAUUAAAUAUUAACACGUGCAUCUUCACAAUUCUUUUUGACCAUUUGACUAACAAUUUAAUGAAAACUUUUUUUAUCCCUAAAUCUGACAUGUCAUUAAAAAACGCGAGUAUUACAAAUAUUAAUAUAAAAAAAGAUUAAAACAAAUAUAUGAGAAAUUAAACAUUAACUUAAGAAUAUGGUAUAGAUAUUUUACUUAUUUAAUAGAUUAUGAAUUAUUAUAGAUGAAUUCAUUUUUAUAUUAAAAUAAUUUAUUUGGUUAAUUAUAAGUAUGUUAGAAUAUUUUAUUAAAUCAUUUUAAAAUAAAAAUAUAAUAAAAAAAUUAAUGAGCAAAUGUAAUAUAAUAUAAUAAUAAAGAUUAAUUUUUUAUAAUGUAUAUUAUAUAUAUAUAUAUAUAUAUAUAUAUAUAUAUAUAUAUAUAUAUAUAUAUUAUACAUUAUAAAAAAUUAAUAAUGUUAUUUCUAUAGCACAAGUGUAUUAUUUAAACUUUUAAUUAUUAUUUUUUAUUAUCUUUCAAGUUAGUAAAAAUUCAAAUUAAAAAAGAUUUUACAAAUUUCACUUUUUUUAAAUAAUGUUAAUUUUUUUUUAUCGACCAUGGUUUUCAAGAAGAAAAAAAAAAGACAAUUAAAUACAUUUAAAAUAAAUAAAUUUAAAGUUCCAAAAAAAAAUAAAAAAAUAAAAUUUAUUUUUAGAAAAUGAAAUUUUCAAAACCUUUACCAAACUAAAUACAAUAGUGACUAAUUAUAUUAUCCGCGCUCCCUAUGUUGCCCUUAAAGUACUAAUGAGAAAUACAAAUCCCUUACAAUAUAAAUGACAUGGGAAUUGCACUUGAUAACAUUUCAUUCAUAUUGUGUGUUUUUAUUUUCUAAAAAUCAUUUUAGAAAGCAGUUUUCAAGGAAUAAAACCAAACACUAAGGGUGGGAAUUGUUUUUUAAAACAAUUUUUUGUUCUCCUAAACAAAAAAUAUAGAAAAUAUGUUCGAUAACCAAAAACUAUUUUUUUUUUAAGAUAAAAAAUAAAAUAGGAUAUUUUCAAAUAAUAUAUUUUUAUUAUUUUAUAUUAUUUUAACUUGUUUUCUAAUGAUUGAUUUAAGAAAUAAUUAUAUAAAUAUAUAGAAUAAUUAAAAAUAAAAUACUAGAUAUAAAACUUAUUUUUAAAACUUAUUUUAAAAUUUUAAAAAUAGGAUAAAAGUAUUUUUGAUUUCUAAACAUACUUUUAUUUUAUGAAAAUCAAAGGAUAAUUCUCAAAAACUAUUGUCAAAUAUUAUUUUUUAAAACUAUUUUCAUAAAUAAUUACGAAACUCGCCCUAAAAUUCUAAAGUAAUGCUAGGUGUUUCUAAAAUGGAUUUGCAAACCCGUGGCAACAUUAAGCGCAUUGUACCUUUCAAGAAAGUAGUUAGGCAAAUUUAUUGUUUUCAAAUUAUAAGUUUUUGUCACUUGACCAUCCCCUUGCUGUUGAUUUUGAUUUUGUUUUUAUUUUUGAAGUUCCAACUACCAAAGUGUGAAAUGGAAUGUGGGCCAUAGAAAAAUAAGUCAUGUUGCUGGUAACUAAUGUACUUGGUUGACCAUUAUAGUCCUAUAUAAAUAACUUUUUAUUUUUAUUUUUUAUAUGGUAUGCUUUUAAUUAUAGCAGAAAUGCCACUUGUUCUAGUUAUAAAGUCAUAUAUAUAUAUAUAUAUAUAUAUAUAUUUGUUUUCAUUGCUUAAUUAAUUUUGUAUUGUGAUAUGAGGAUAUGACUUUUCCUUUGCAAGCUUUGUAAUUGUGAAUGAUAGGGACACUCCUUGUGUCAUUUGGUUUCAAAGGGAUUCAUAUUGACUUUCAAAUGAAAUUUGCUCCCUAAAACCUCAUUCUUCUUCCAAGUUGCUUUAACUCGGUCUUCUUAAUUUCUAUGGCUUAUGGCUUAUAGCUUAGUUAAGUGGUAAUCUUAUGUCUUGAUGAUUUGAAAUUUUUGUAUUUCUUCAAAACUAAUCCAACUCUAAUUAAUGGGAUGAUCCAAUUUUUUUUUCAUAAAAAAAAAAAACACAUUUUAGACAAAUAUGUCCUCAUAUUUUUCUUCCAAUAAUAACAUUUUUUUUUUUUAAACUCACAUGUAAAUAGUCGAAAUGUUGAAAGAUAUUUAUAUAAAAAUUGGGUUACUCUUCAAAUUUAAAAAUGAUAAAUAUUAGUUUUACAAAUUGGAGAUCUUUUCAUCUUUUUUUAAUCAAUUAAUCCAAUUAAUAACUUAUAUUAGAGAAUUGUAUCACCAGAGCAAAAGUAUGAAAGUUAGGUGUCACUUUUGUAUCAUAUUAUGAUUCCAUAUCUUUAUAGAAGUACAUACCAUCCCUAUUAAGGUUUUAUUAUAGAAAGAUAUUUUUUUAUAACUAUCUAAAAGGUACUAUCAAUGAGAUGAUGCCAUAUAGACACAAUCGAGUUUUCAUGACUUUACACUAAGAGUAUCAUUCAUUAUAAUCUUAUAGUUUGAUCUCAUUUAUCUAACUUAAAUUUGAUUUCCACUUUGAUUCAAUUUAAGUAAAAGGUUAGUAGAUACCGAAUUAGUAGCUUCGAUUUCUGACUUUAGAAACGAAAGCAAACUCCACUCACCAACCAGUAUUGUUGUUUGAUUCCCUGCUCCAAUAAGAAAUCCCAGAGGGAAAUUUCUUAGUUUUAUCCUUGUAGUGUUGUUUGGUGUGAACAUUCUUCAGUUUCCAGUUGUUUGGUUUGCAAGGAAAUGGUUGGCAUUUAACCCGAUAUUGCCCAGAAAAAUCUUGACUGAUAACUUGGGUGCAGUAACCCAUUUGCCAAGCAUCUGGCUCUAAAGAAAAAUCAGUUCGGAUUCAGUCAGUUUUCCGAAAUUUUGUGGAUUAUUUGGUUAGAUUGCCAUUGAAAUAUCUCCAUAGUCGAUAAGAACUCUUAGGGUCCAGUCCUUGCCUCCUUGAGAGACCUACCUUGUCUCUAUCCUAUUUAUGUGUAAAAAACUAAAAAAAAAAAAAAAAAUUCUACCUCAGAAAUAAUGGGUUGGACCCCUUUCACCUCUUGUAAGGUAGUUAAUUCUCUUUCAAAGUGCUCUCUAGAAGAAAGGGCUCCUUCCUAACUCCUUCCGCAGAAGACUUUUUGGAGUUGCUUUUCCCACAAGGGGACUCCCUCAAUUUCUCAACUUUUCCUCAUCUACAAAGGGUGUCAUUAGUUUGAAAGCUUUGGAAGUUUCCAAGUGACCCCAUUUUAAUAUCAAUUUUUUGAAAAAGGAGUGGGGGCAUGAAUUGCUUAGAAGAUUACAUGCGAAGAGAUUAGUUUUCUCUCUCUUAAUAAUAAUCAAGUGAAAUAAUAAAAAAUAACUUUAUUUUGAAUCAAAUAGACAGCCAAGUUCCAACUACUCCUUGUUUAAACUAGAUUAGUAUCAUCAUAGCCAAUUCAUGAUGAGUAUGAGCCUUGGUCAACUCCGAGUGUAGCUGGAAAAAUCAGGUUAAAAGGCCAAGUUGGGGCUAUAAAAUUUUCGCAGUUGAAUACUGGUUAAGUAUGGUUCCUUGUUCAGUGAGCAGAUAUCGCAGCAAAUAUCAGUCGUAGCAAAAUGGGAUUUUGUUAGAAAAUAAAGAACAUGUUAAAUGUUCGAAUUCCCAAGUAAAAUGGGAAAUAAUGAGCUUGGAUUGGAUGUAGCCCAUGUCGUAUUUCUUUGACUUUCAACCGCCCCGUUCAUGAAUACUUUCGGAUGUUUAGAUGGUGUGCUUUUACUUGUACUUAUGCCUUCUAUAUACGCAACACGGGGCAGAACUCUCUCUCUUUUCCCCCACCCCAGCCCCCAGCCCCCGGCCACUCCUCUCUCUCUCUCUCUUUGUGCUAUCAAGAUUUCAUUGAUGAGAAUCUGGCAUCAAGAGCAUGGCAAUGAUUCAUAGCGCUCCUCUUUUUCUUAUUCAUAUCCUCUCCCUUGCUUUACUUCCUUUGAAAAUCACCACAUCACCCACAACAGAAGCAGAAGCUCUUAUCAAAUGGAAGAACAGUUUAAUUUCUUCUUCUCCUCUCAAUUCAUCGUGGUCCCUCACCAACAUUGGGAACCUCUGCAACUGGACAGGUAUUGCUUGUGAUACCACCGGAAGCGUCACUGUGAUAAAUCUCUCAGAGACAGAGCUGGAGGGAACGCUUGCCCAGUUUGAUUUCGGUUCAUUCCCUAAUCUCACUGGCUUCAAUCUCAGCAGCAAUUCCAAACUCAAUGGAUCCAUACCUUCUACGAUUUACAACCUCUCUAAGCUCACUUUCUUGGACUUGAGCCACAACUUUUUUGAUGGCAACAUCACUUCAGAGAUUGGAGGGUUGACAGAGCUUCUGUAUCUCAGCUUUUACGACAACUAUCUCGUUGGUACCAUCCCCUACCAGAUUACCAAUCUUCAGAAGAUGUGGUACUUGGACCUUGGAUCCAACUACUUACAAUCUCCAGACUGGUCGAAGUUUUCGAGCAUGCCUCUGUUGACACGACUGAGCUUCAACUACAAUGAACUUGUAUCAGAAUUCCCGGGGUUCAUAACUGAUUGCCGGAACCUGACAUACCUCGACUUAGCACAGAAUCAAUUGACUGGCGCAAUACCAGAGUCGGUAUUUAGCAAUCUGGGCAAGCUUGAAUUCCUCAAUUUCACUGACAAUUCAUUCCAGGGGCCAUUGUCAUCCAACAUUUCCAGGCUUUCCAAGCUCCAAAACCUUCGCCUAGGAAGAAACCAAUUCAGUGGUUCAAUUCCUGAAGAAAUCGGUACGCUCUCUGAUCUUGAAAUAUUAGAAAUGUACAACAAUUCAUUUGAAGGGCAGAUUCCUUCUUCUAUAGGUCAGCUCAGAAAGCUUCAGAUACUCGAUAUCCAAAGAAAUGCCCUGAAUUCUAAAAUUCCAUCUGAGCUUGGCUCUUGUACUAAUCUCACCUUCUUAUCUCUAGCUGUGAACUCACUAUACGGGGUGAUUCCUUCUUCCUUCACCAAUCUUAACAAGAUAUCCGAGUUGGGUUUGUCAGACAAUUUUUUAUCUGGUGAGAUCUCACCUUAUUUCAUCACUAAUUGGACUGAACUGAUCUCUUUGCAAGUUCAGAACAAUAGCUUCACUGGAAAAAUCCCAUCUGAGAUUGGCCUUUUGGAAAAGCUGAAUUACCUUUUCCUGUAUAAUAAUAUGCUGUCCGGGGCAAUCCCAUCAGAGAUUGGGAAUUUGAAAGACUUGCUUCAACUAGACCUUUCACAAAAUCAGCUAUCGGGUCCAAUCCCUGUAGUAGAGUGGAAUCUCACACAGCUUACUACCUUACAUCUUUAUGAAAACAAUCUCACUGGAACAAUUCCUCCAGAGAUUGGUAACUUGACAUCAUUGACUGUUCUUGAUCUCAACACUAACAAAUUGCAUGGAGAGUUGCCAGAGACAUUGUCACUCCUCAAUAAUCUAGAGAGACUCUCCGUGUUCACCAACAAUUUCUCAGGCACCAUUCCGACUGAACUUGGGAAGAACAGCCUUAAUCUGAUGUAUGUCAGUUUUUCCAACAACAGCUUCUCAGGAGAAUUGCCUCCUGGAUUAUGUAAUGGCCUUGCUCUUCAAUACUUAACGGUAAAUGGAGGCAACAACUUCACAGGACCAUUGCCAGAUUGCUUGAGGAACUGCACAGGGCUAACUCGAGUCCGUCUUGAAGGGAACCAAUUCACUGGAGGUAUUUCCGAGGCAUUUGGAGUUCAUCCUAGUCUUGUUUUUCUUUCUCUGAGUGGCAAUCGAUUUUCAGGUGAGAUUUCACCUGAGUGGGGGGAAUGUCAAAAGCUCACUAGCUUGCAGGUGGAUGGGAAUAAAAUUUCUGGAGAAAUCCCAGCUGAGCUUGGGAAGUUGUCACAACUGGGGGUUCUGAGCCUGGAUUCCAAUGAAUUGAGUGGGCAAAUUCCAGUGGAACUGGCGAAUUUAAGCCAAUUGUUCAACCUCAGCUUGAGUAAAAAUCAUCUGACAGGAGACAUCCCCCAGUUCAUAGGCACUUUAACUAAUCUCAAUUAUCUGAAUUUAGCAGGAAACUAUUUCAGUGGAAGCAUACCAAAAGAGCUGGGGAAUUGUGAGCGCUUGUUGAGCUUGAACUUGGGCAACAAUAAUUUGUCAGGAGAAAUACCUUCAGAGCUUGGAAACUUGUUGGCCUUGCAGUACCUUUUGGAUCUCAGUAGCAAUUCGCUCUCUGGGACAAUCCCUUCAGACCUGGGAAAGCUUGCCUCAUUGGAGAACCUGAAUGUCUCACAUAAUCAUCUCACAGGGAGAAUCCCAUCAUUAUCAGGCAUGAUCAGUCUAAACUCCUCUGAUUUCUCAUACAAUGAAUUGACAGGUCCAAUCCCAACUGGCAAUAUCUUCAAGCGGGCAAUUUAUACUGGAAACUCGGGUUUGUGUGGAAAUGCAGAAGGAUUAAGUCCUUGUUCUUCAAGUUCCCCAAGCAGCAAGUCAAACCAUAAAACCAAGAUUCUAAUUGCUGUCAUAAUUCCAGUCUGUGGCCUCUUUUUACUUGCAAUUCUUAUUGCUGCAAUUCUUAUACUUCGAGGACGAACUCAACACCAUGAUGAAGAGAUCGAUUGUACAGAGAAGGAUCAGAGUGCCACACCCUUGAUUUGGGAAAGACUAGGAAAAUUCACAUUUGGGGAUAUUGUGAAAGCCACCGAAGACUUCAGCGAAAAGUAUUCUAUUGGAAAAGGAGGAUUCGGCACUGUUUACAAAGCGGUAUUACCAGAGGGUCAGAUUGUUGCGGUUAAAAGACUCAAUAUGUUAGACUCCAGAGGCCUUCCAGCAACAAAUAGGAAGAGUUUUGAGAGUGAAAUUGACACUCUGAGAAAAGUUCUGCAUAGGAAUAUCAUUAAACUUCAUGGGUUCCAUUCCAGGAAUGGAUUCAUGUACUUGGUUUAUAACCACAUAGAGAGAGGUAGUUUGGGGAAAGUACUAUAUGGGGAGCAAGGGAAAGUGGAUCUGGGGUGGGCCACAAGAGUUAGGAUUGUGCGGGGAGUGGCUCAUGCGCUUGCUUACUUACAUCAUGACUGCUCUCCACCCAUUGUCCACCGAGAUGUUACUCUGAAUAACAUCUUGCUGGAGUCAGAUUUUGAGCCACGGCUCUCGGACUUCGGCACAGCGAGAUUGUUGGACCCGAAUUCAUCCAACUGGACUACAGUUGCAGGGUCUUAUGGCUACAUUGCUCCAGGUAAAAUGAAGAUAAUUUUUAUCCAUUUUGUUUUAUCUUAGUUGAUCAGAAUGUGUUAUUAGGAAGCUAAUUUUGUUUUCUUGAUUUGCAGAGCUUGCGCUUCCAAUGAGGGUCAACGACAAAUGCGAUGUGUAUAGCUUUGGGGUGGUGGCAUUGGAAGUGAUGCUGGGAAGGCACCCAGGGGAGUUCCUACUUUCACUGCCUUCUCCAGCAAUAUCUGAUGAUCCGGGGUUGUUCUUGAAGGACAUGCUAGAUCAGAGGCUCCCAGCUCCCACAGGCCGACUGGCAGAGGAAGUAGUGUUUGUGGUUACGAUAGCCUUAGCGUGCACACGUGCCAAUCCAAAGUCACGCCCCACCAUGCGCUUCGUUGCACAAGAACUCUCUGCUCAAACCCAGGCUUGCCUAUCUGAGCCAUUCCACUCUAUAACCAUGGGCAAGCUAACAAGCUUUCAGAAGUAGGUUGAAUUGGUUUAACAUCCUUACAUUUAUAGUUGUUGGGUUUUAUGCCCUGUAUAGCGAGACAUGUUGCAAUGUUUGUAAUUUAAUAUAUGGUUUCUAUUCAUUCAUUGGCAUUAUGCACGUGCAGUGAUAGUUCCUUUCUUUUUAUUAUUUUGAUGCAUACUUAGCCUAAUUAAUUCACAUUGUAUAUAAUUUGGAUAUAGGUGGAUACAUAGAGAAUGCAAUUGUGGGUUCCUUAUAGAUUGAUACUAUUGUUCAUAAUGGUUCAUGAACUAGAGUAGUUUAAUAGUGUUGUGUGUGCUACCUCUCAUUCAGGUGGGAUGACUUGUCCUAGUCAUUAGAGUGAGUCUUUAAGGUGGUAUAUGAUUGUGUAUGGUUACACAUUGAAAAUGACAUACAGAGGACAUGUCUAUUGUUGUUUGAGUGACAUGUGUUCUUCUAGAUACUAUUUUGUAGGAGCUUUUAACCUUGAGGGGUACUUGGGCUAGUGUUUGGCUUAGUAAUCAUUUUGAGUCACAUACGAGUGAGACCCACAAAAGAGGUUAUAUAUUCUCAUGAUCUUGGGUGGUUGUUGAUUCAGCAUGUAGCCUGUGGAUACCUAAAAUGGGCUUCCUACUAUACUUACUAGGGACAAUAUAUUUCUUUCUAAUAAUUCUAAGGUGUAUGAUUAGGGUAAAUCCUUGGUCAUGGUAACCCUACUUGGUUAGUGGAAUUGAUGUUUUAUCCUUCUAGGAUAUGAUAACAUCAAUUGAUCAUGGAAAAUGUGAAUGUGUAACUCAAAGGCUAAAGAUGUAAUUUAUUAGUGGAUAGCACAUACUAAUUGGAUCAUGAAUAUAUAUGAGUUCAUGGGAAACAAAUAUGACAAUUAUUAGGUCGUGGGACAACAAUUAAGUUCAUAUAGUUAGAUCUAAUUAGUGAAGUGCAUUCAAUCGACGUUAGUGGAGUGAUUGUUUGGCUAUGAAUUUAUGUUUGAUUAAUUUCAUAAGAGCCACAAUUAGAUUUUCAUUGGUCCUUGGUCAAGCUACCUUCAUAGGUGUAUUUUUUCUCCUUAAUAUAUGAGGGAGCAUGAAAAGAUCAAAUUGUGACAUUCCUCUUAUUUCCACUUUCAUAGUUAUUUGGAAACAAAAUCAAAGAGUUUCCUCUCCGUUCUAAGAGUGAGUCCAACUUUGAUCUUGCAAAGCAUUGUCACACACUCAACCAUACACUAUGGUAGGAUCCAUCGGAUGAUCAUGGGUGAUGGGUCCAUCGUUACCCACUUAACAAUACUGUUAAAAUAAAGCUUUUAAAAGUAUGAUAUGAUGUAACAAAUAUGGAGUUUAUUAUUUAUUUAACAAAUUUUUACUUGCAUUUUAAUAUAUCUUUAUUCCAUGCAGUGUAACUUAUGAGCAUUCUAGUAUACAUCUCUUGCAAUGUACAUGACUUGAGUACAUUAAGAGUUACAUAGAAGACCCAAAUCAUAGGUUCCUUACAAGUAGAUGAUUUGUUCACAAUCGGUUCAUGGACUUAAGCAAUCCAUUUGAGGCUAUAGUAAACUAUCUCCUAAGAGGGAUGAUUGGUCUUGACCAUUGGGAUUUUCUAUGGUAAGUGCACUAAUGUGUAUGAUUAUACAUUGGACAGAACCUAUGAUGAGUCAUGACGUUAGGCUAUCGGGUUGUCAUGACUUCACCAAGCUACUAUGUUAUAUUGUUUCUCCUUAUAUUGUUUCUCCAUCUUAGAAGAAUAUUGAGCUUAUGUAAAAGUUAGUUAGCUUUAACUUAUAAGUGCGAUCUUAAAGUAACCAUAUAUUCCCUAUGGAUUGAGUCGCUAUUAAUGGAAGUUGGUAGCAACAGGUAUUUUCAAUAAAAACAUUAUGACUUUAAGACAAUGUAUCACCUUAGGUGACCUUAAGGACAUGUGUUUAGGUAAACUAUGACCAUGGUAGUUUCUUAAGUAGAACUUGACAUAAGAUCUUUGUGACUUAGGACAUGUUAGAUGAUCAUACAAUGAGAGGAUCUGUAACUCAAAGAUAGUAGAGGUAAUCUUGAGAGGUUGAUGAAUUUGACUUUGUUAUAUUAUUUCAACAUUGACUCAAAAUCUUCUCAAGGUUGAGAGUCCAUGCAACAUGGUAGCUUGGUAAAUCAUGACAAUCUGAUAGCCUUGUAUAAUGAUUCAUCAUAAGUCUCAUCCGAUAUAUAACCAUACAUAUUAGUGCACUCACCAUGGAAACCUUAUCCCGAUGGCCAAGACAAGUCAUUCCUCAAAUUAAGAGGUAAUGCAUGAUAGUAUCUACUAGAUUGCCCAAAUCCAUCAAUCAACUAUGAACAACUUAUCAUCUUAUAAAGAACGUAUUACUUAUAUCUUAUGUGCAACUCCUAAUGUACCCAAGUCAUGUACAAUGCAAGUGAUAUGGGCUUGAAUGUUCAAAACAAUAUCAGUGCAUACAAAUAAUAAAUAAAGUGGAAACAUAAGUCCAACUUUGUUACAUUAUGUCUUACUUUUAAGAGUUUAUCCUAAUAUUGAAGCCAAAGGUAGACAAGUUGAAACCAAAAUUAGACGUUUGGCAAUUUGUUAGGUAUCCAAAAUGGAUUAAGGGUUAUUACCUUUAUAGUCAAGUUGACUAAAAGGUCUUUAGAGGGUUGUUAUACAACCAAACUAAUUCAUGUAUUUGGAAAUCAUUAUACAACCAAAAUAAUGAAGCAAUAAGCGAUAUGUAUGCACAUCUUUAGCAAUGAGCCAUGGAGGCAAGGUUAGAAUAUAUGUAUUCUAACCAAGUUUGGGAGCUUGUAGAAGCACAUUAAAAAUAAAACCUAUAAAGUUCAGUGGGCCUACAAGAGGAAGAGGAGAGUAGAUGAAAUGGUUGAAACAUAUAAGGCUAGGCUUGUAGCAAAGGGCUAUAGUUUAGAAACUUGGUUUUGACUAUAUAUGAGGAGACCUUCUCAUUGGUAGCCAUACUCAAGUUCAUCAAAAUACUCCUAUCUAUUACAACACAUCUCGGCUAUAAGAUAUGAAAAAUGAAUGCCAAGAUUAGAUUCUUGAAUGACAAUCUUAAUGAGAACAUCUAUAUGAUGCAACCAGGUGGUUUCAUAAUAAAUUAUUGAGAGCAUAUGAUAUGCAAGUUGUAUAAAUUUAUUUAUGGAUUAAAGCAACCAUCUUGAUCAUGGAACAAACAUUUCAAUUAGGUAGUCAAGACCUUAACUUGAUCAAAACGAGGAUGAACCUUAAGUAUACAAGAAGGCGUAGGAAAACAUAAUGGUCUUUACGAUCUUAUACGUAGAUGAAAUUAUACUCAUUGGUAAUUGAUCGAUUGAUUUUUUUAAUUUAUCGCAUCAAAACACAAUUUAUAACUUAAUUCACUAUUCUAGAGUAGCUUGUACCCGAUCAAAAAUGGUUUUAGUACAAACUACCGUAGUAUAGUGGUUUUUAGGUGUCAUCCACUAGGAUGGAUUAUUCUCGGUAAUUAAGGCUUGAAUGAGAGAACAAGAAAUGAUUGUGAUUGAGUGAAAUUGAUUUGAAAAUUCAUGGUGAAAAAUCAAUUUAACAAUAGUCUCAAAUUGAGAAGAAAAUGAAAUGCUAAAUAGAAGAAAAUUAAUAGGAAAUGAAAUUCUCAAAGUUAGGAUUUUCUAGAAAACAAUUUCCAUGGUGAAUAGUGUGGACCCGCAUUUUUCACGUGCGUCCCCACUCGAUCGGCGAGACUCGCUUUUUAUUUAUUUGUGAAAAUUUGAUUUUUUGAAAAAAAGUUGGAGUCGCCACUUAUUUUAUUUUUAUUUUUGAAGGGAAAAUAAAACAAGAAAUAAAACCCUAAAAAAAUGACUCCAUAAUUUUUGGAAAAGCGUGUCUUUGAAAACCCAAGUCUUGGUCCGGGGAUCAGGUUACUUAUUGGGAAGGUACCUCUAGGAGGUAGCACCCCUUUAAGCCCUAAAGAGGUCUCUACUAAUUAAGUUAAGGGGAAUAUGACAAUUAAUCAGUUAAUUAUGGAUACCUAAGUAGGCUAGGUGAUUUCAAAAAAAUUUGCAUGCUAAACAAGAUCAAAUUGCCAUAAAAGAAAGGUUAGGAUGCGUACCUGGACCGCUUCUCAAGCGCUAUCAUAAAACAUCAGAGUUAGUAUAGAAGUAUAACACACAACAUGUAUUUAAUCAUAGUGAAUCAAACAUACCAUCUAAACACCUAACGAUUAUCAAACAUUUGCAUACUUUCUUAGUGAACACGAUUGUUUACAAAAUUNNNNNNNNNNNNNNNNNNNNNNNNNNNNNNNNNNNNNNNNNNNNNNNNNNNNNNNNNNNNNNNNNNNNNNNNNNNNNNNNNNNNNNNNNNNNNNNNNNNNNNNNNNNNNNNNNNNNNNNNNNNNNNNNNNNNNNNNNNNNNNNNNNNNNNNNNNNNNNNNNNNNNNNNNNNNNNNNNNNNNNNNNNNNNNNNNNNNNNNNNNNNNNNNNNNNNNNNNNNNNNNNNNNNNNNNNNNNNNNNNNNNNNNNNNNNNNNNNNNNNNNNNNNNNNNNNNNNNNNNNNNNNNNNNNNNNNNNNNNNNNNNNNNNNNNNNNNNNNNNNNNNNNNNNNNNNNNNNNNNNNNNNNNNNNNNNNNNNNNNNNNNNNNNNNNNNNNNNNNNNNNNNNNNNNNNNNNNNNNNNNNNNNNNNNNNNNNNNNNNNNNNNNNNNNNNNNNNNNNNNNNNNNNNNNNNNNNNNNNNNNNNNNNNNNNNNNNNNNNNNNNNNNNNNNNNNNNNNNNNNNNNNNNNNNNNNNNNNNNNNNNNNNNNNNNNNNNNNNNNNNNNNNNNNNNNNNNNNNNNNNNNNNNNNNNNNNNNNNNNNNNNNNNNNNNNNNNNNNNNNNNNNNNNNNNNNNNNNNNNNNNNNNNNNAAAAUUCAAUUAACUUAGAAAACAGGUGAAAAUCAAACUAAUUGGGGAUUAAAAAUACAAACUUUAUUCGAUAGGAUUAUUUAACCUUAGGAAUUAGGAUCAAAUAAAAAUGUAUUUAAACUAAAAACGAAUUGGAAUCAAACUAAUUGAGAUUAAAAACAUAAACUUUAUUUAACGUGAUUAUUUAAAGUCAAGAAUUAAGAUCAACAAAAUACAUUUAAACUAAAAAAAAAAUUAAAAUCAAACUAAUUGGGAUUAAAAAAGAAAAUAAUAUAAACUUUAACACAAAGAAUUAAUCAAAAACUAAAAUUUCCAAAAAAAAAAAAAAAAAAAUCUAGGCUAAAUAAAAGUACUAUAUAGAAAACUAACCUUUGAAGUGAAAGAGAAAAUCCUCUCUUGAUGAUUAAAUGACAGCCCGAUCUCCGUUCGAAGUCCCUUGUUUUUUUCCCAAAAUUCCGUGUGCUCUGCCCCCCCCCCCAAGAAAAAUCUCUCCUAUUCUUUUCCUUUUCUCACCUAUAUAUAUCACCCCUCAAGACCUAAAUUUGUUUCCAAAAAGGAAAAUUCUCCUCCUUCCUUUCUUCUUCUCUUCUUUUUUUAAAUCCUCCAAUCAAAAGCAAUCUUCCCAAUUUCAAAUUCCCCUCCAAAACCUUCCAAGGAGAGUCCCAUCUUCCUUAAACUCCAAUGGUAAGUUUCCUUGCAAAAACAUGAAAUUUUUUAAGUUAAAUAAUUGCAUGUAUAGAUAAAUAAGUAAAUAAAUUAAAAAAUGGUAAAAAUAAUAAAUAAAUAAAUAAGUUAAGCAAAAUAAUAUAAAGAGGAAGAUAACCAAUAAAAAGUGAAUGAUAAUCAUAAAAUUAAAAUUAAAAACAAAAUAAAUAAAUAAAUAAAUAAAAUAAAAUAAAAUAAAAUGAAAGUCUUCGUAGGCCUAGUGUGCCUAAACGGGCCUAAGGUGAGACUAAGUGGGCCUAGGGUAGUGCCUAAUGGGCCAAGUGUAUCUAAAAGCUAUCCUAAAAAAACAAGAAAAGCCUAAGUCUAAGUUAGGGCUGCCAAGGGUCACAAUAAGGGAUCAAAUAAUCCCUCAACCAAAAUCUCCGAGGUGACUCAGAAAAAGGUAAGUGGUAUGAGUAGCCAUGGGCCACCAAGGAACUAUUGUGGAGCAUUGAAAAUGAAUUUUAAAGACAUGUGCUAAAGGGACAAAAUUGAGGGUCUACAAAUAGAUGUUGAGAUCUAACUUUCAUUAAAUUAGAUUGAAAACCUAAAUUCUCAUCCAAAUCGAUUUUGGAUCUAGCUUUAAGUCUAGAUCUAAUUUCUCUUCAAAUUAGGUUAUUUAAUCUAAGAGAUCAAUUCAAAUUACAUAUUCAGUUUAUCUUAAAUUAUCUUUCAAUGAUUCACACAAUGCAACUAUUCAAUUUCAUCAAAUGUAGCUUUAAGAAUUUAAUGAAUCUACCUAGUUUGCAUUGUAGUAGUCAUCCAAGACAAUUUGAAGAGAAAAAUCCUCAAAAUUCAAUUAAUCAAUCAAUUGGAUCAAAUUACCUUUGCAAUUAAAUCUCAUUUCUCUAAUUCACCAUAGAUCUUGCCUCUAGAUUCUCAUUCCUCCAAGAAAAACGAGAUUUAACCACUCAUGCUUGGAGAUUUGGUCUCACAAGGCAUGUUUGGCUAGUAAGAAAAUGAGAGAAAAUAAAGAAAAAUAGGGAAUUCUAUUGAGAGAGAAAAUAUGGAAAAUUCUACAAUUAGAAGUGUUAAAUAGCUUUUCACAUGAAAAAAUCAAGUUUCUAUUUAUAGGCCAAGGUCAAGUGGACACUUGGCAUGAUCUAAGAGGUCUUUCGGAAGCUUCUUCAUCAAGCAAUCUGGAGUUUAAUAAUAAAAUGACCAUUUGUACGAGCUCAACCAAUUUCGCAUGGUUGUGCGAAAUAAGUAAUUCAACAGUAGCAGUUAUAGUUUUCUGGAGCAUUUCGCAUGACUAUGUGAAAUUUUCGCAUGAUCAUGAGAAACCAGCUUGCAGAUCUUCCUUAUCCUGCAACAUAAUUCCACUUUUUGGUCCAUUUCACAUGAUCAUGCGAAAUGGAAAUAUUUGAUUUUUAAUAUUUCUUUUCUCAUUUCUUCCAUUUCUUCAUUUUGAAUUCACCUCAACUACCUCCAAAUCAACUCUAAAUCCUGGUCCAAGUGCAUUGAUUUUUCCUCAUCAUCCACAUUAUUUUUCUUCCUAAAUUCUAUUUCUUUUUUUGUCACUCAAUGCUUCAAAAAUCACCUUGAAAUAUCUUCAAAACUUCACAAAAAUCAUUAGUAUCUCUUACAAAUACCCUAUAAAUACCCUUUAUGGGUUUUGGGUUCGGUCUUCUUUCUCCAUUCUCCCUACAUUCAUGGCUCAAGUUGGGAAACUUAGCUCGGAAAUUUGUGGGGUUAGAUAGUAGCUCAUCCACGCUCAUGAAUGACCCACUUGCUUGCAUUUUAUGUGGACCAGAUAUGGGAUACAAGUUUAAUGUAAUUAAUUUUUUUUGCAUGCAAUUAUAGGAUUAAAAAAAACCUAGGUAAUUUUGGAGAUGCAAAAUAGAUAUUAAUUAGGAAAUUUAAACUUGGUAAAAUUAAGGUUUUAAUUGUCAAAAACUUUAUGCUUAAAAUUUUCAUAAAUGUUAGAAAUGAAAAAUUAGGAUAAUUAAGGAAUUUUAAUUUGGAGAUCUUAAUUAAUAAUUAUCCAAUAUUUGAAUUGCAUAAUUUAAAAAAAAUAAGAAAAUUAAUUUUAGAAAAUAAUUGGAAUCAAUUUUGGAUAUGCGUAAAAUUUUAGAAAAUGGUCGGUUAAUUAAUUCUUAUUAGAUUAUGGAGAUAUUUAUGAAAAUUAAAGUUAGUCCAAAUUCUAUUUUGGAAAUGUCAAAUUGGAUUAAUAAAUAUAAGAAAGCCUAAGUCACUUUUCAAUUUUUUCCAAAAAAUUAUAUAGUGAUUUUUUUCCUAAACUACUGAUAAGUCAAAUUUGGAAAGAUUUCCAUAAGAAGAAAGUAAAUUUACCAAGCUUUCCACAAAAAGAAAGUGGUACUUUCCAUAAUUAAAAAGCUUUUGAUUAAAAUUAGUAUUUCAUGAGAAAUAAAAUUUCCAUAAAUAAGAAGUUGGAAACUCUCAUUUUGUUCAAAACCUCUUGCAAACACACAACCUCCCACUAUCAAGUUCAAUUUGGCGAUAGGUACAAGCCUCCUAAAGAUGUUUGGGAAGAAGGUCGGUCUAUAAGACAAGCAACCCUAAAGUUUAUAAUGAAAAUCGAGGCAUUUGAAGGAACCCCAGUUAGAGAGCAUAUGAUCAAGAUGGUUGGUUUCUUUAGUGAGAUGAAGACCCUUGGAGUAAAUAUUGAUGGUGAAACUAAGAUUGACAUUGUACUUGAGACCUCACCACCAUCCUUCAAUUAGUUCAAGUUGAACUAUAAAAUGAAUAGGAUGAUCCUAUCAUUACCAAAGCAAUGAAGGAAUUGUAGAUGGCUGAGAAGAGCCCAAGAAUCAAAAGUUAAUCAAUGUAGCUUUAAAAACUAAAAUAAAAAAACCCUUCCAAAUCUUCCAAAAUGAAGAGGAAGAGUUCUAACACUAGUCAUAUUAAUUUAUCUAAAUCGAAACAAGGAAAAAAAAAGUGUAAAAAGGUGGCUACGAAAAAGUCCACAAGGAAAUGCUUCUUUUAUUGCAGAAAAGGCCAUUAGAAAAAAAAAUGCCUUAAGUUCCUCAGAAAGAAGGUAAUCACUCACUUUCAGUUAUUUAGUCUUACUUAGUGGUGGAUUACGCUAGUUAUUGGUGGAUAGAUUCCAAAGCUAUUGGCCAUAUUUGUAGUUUUUUUAUAGGGGUUUCAAGUCUGCAAAGGACUCGAUAAAGUAGAGAUGUACUUGAAUCUUGUCUCCAUUGCUUAGAUGGUUGUUCGAGUUAUGGGAAUAAUUCAACCAUUAGUUGGAGAGAAUAUCUUAUUUUGAAACUCUAAGAUUGUUUAUAUGUGUCAGGGUUUAAAGAAUUUAAUUUAAGUUUCUAGUCUAUGUAAAAUGAACUAUUCAAUUUCUUUUAAUGAUACUACUAUAGUUUUAAGAAAGAAUAAGAUGUUCAUUUGUAUUGGUGCAUUGUUUAACAAUUUGUACUAUAUCAUUGCAAGUUUCAUGGAAACUAACCGAGUUGAGAAUAUAUUGACUUAUGAACAAAAACAACUUACCACUAAUCAAACAUACCUUUAGUGCCUAAGGUUGAAUCAUAUUAACAUGAGUAGAAUUUAAAGAUCAGUGAAUUCGGGUCCAUCAAAAACAUUGGUUCGUGGACAAUUUUCAUUAUGUGAAUCCUGCAAUGAAGUCAAAAUGAUAAGGAGACGUUUUAAAGCUAAAGAGCAUAGAGCAUCUAAAUGUCUAAAGUUAGUGAAUAUUGAUGUGUGUGGACUUUUCAAUGUUCAUGCGCAUGGAAUAUAUGAGUAUUUCAUUACCUUUAUUGAGAAUUAUUCUAGGUAUGGAUAUGUUUAUCAAAUAGUUAGGAAAUAUAAAGUGGAUACAUCAAAGAAGCAAUUUGGAAAACAUGUGAAGGUACUUCGAUCUGAUUGGGGUGGUGAGUCCAUGUCUGGUGAAUUUGAUUUUUUUUUUCUUAAAAUACAUGAAAUUAUUUCCAAAUUAAGUGUCCUUAGAACUCAACAAUAGAAUGGGGUAUUGGAAAAAACAAAUCAAACUCUGAUGGGCAUGGUGAGAUCAAUAAUGAGUUUCUCAACCUUACCAACUUCAUUCUAGGGUUAUGCAUUGGAAACUCAUCUAACCACCCUCAUAAACCAUGUCAUCAAGGAAUAUGAGCUCGAGUGAGGACCAUUAGGACUUAUAGGACAACACUAGCUCCCUCAAAAUCCAAUUUUGAAGUUAACUCAACAUCCCAUUAUAAAGAGUCAACUGCACUUCAAUACCUUAUAUAUAUUAUAACGAGACACUAAAUGCUCGGGUUCGUGACUUAUUAUCCAUUGUAUGUAGUCUUCCUAUGGUCUGAUUGUCCGUAGUCUAACAAGGUGAAAGCUAUCAACCUUUCAAAACUAUCUCUACCGUCCUUGAGUUAUAGAUCCUCCUAUUAUGUGAUUAAAUGAUAUACUCUAACUCACUAAUAGCUUCAUUUUUCUAAAAUAGAAAGCUAUUUUUUAAUCACAUAGUCAAACAAACUCUUACUUGCUUCCUAAAAACCCAUUCUUCUUCCAAGUUGCUUACCUAUGUCUUCUUAUUUUUUAGAGUUAAUUUACUCACCUCCCCUUACGCUUUGACUAAAUAAAUUUUAUACUUAUUGGCAUGAAAUUACAUCAAAUACCUCAUCUAUCCUCUUCAUUUGUUAUUUUCACUCACCUCUCAUCUCGCUCAAAAUAAAGGGAGUAUUUGACGAACUUUCAAACUUACAGGGGUUAGGUAUAUUUAGCUAAAACCUCCAAAUAUAUGGAUGAAAUAAUUUCUAUUGAUUAGUUUGGUAAUAGGCAUGACCUUUUGUGUUGGAAAACCAAACCCACUACUAUGUUUUAUUAUUUGAAAUUUAUGAAUUUCUUCAAAACUACUCCAACCAUGAUUAGUGGUUCAUGCUAGAGUCUCAUGUCACCAAAGCUAAAAGUAUUAAAGCUAGGCUAUAAUUUAACUUGAAAAAUAACAUUUUUUUAAUACAAACAUCUUCUAACCUUUAGAUUAUUUUCAUGUUAAUUUUGAAAGAGAAAUUUCCUUUUAAAAAAAAAUAUAUUUUUAUCAAACUUUGAUCAUUUUUAAAAUUGAUGUGGAGGGUUAGAUUUGCAAAUUUGAAAAAAUUUUAUCUUUUAAUCAAAUAACAAAGUUAAAAUAAAUAAAUAAAUAAAUAAAUAACAAAUUUGCAAUAAGUACCAAAAAGACACCACCAAUAUGAAGCAGCUUUUAUACAGGAGUUUCAUAGAUUUAUAUCCUUAUAUUUUGAUCUACUUAUUUUUAUCUCAUUUAAUAAUUUAGAUUUAAUCAAACACAUUCAAUGAUAAAGAUGGAGGAAUUCCGUACAUACGGAUCUGACAUGUACAUAUUUUCAUCUCCUCUCGCCAAAGUCUCCGACCAUUCACCUUUGGCGCACAUGUUCAAUAUGCUAAAAGGGAGUUUGAAGUCGUGGCUUUCAAACUAAAAUUAAACUUUGACUUCCGACAACACCUCGCAAGCAUUUUACUAGCGCCGAGCAGGGUAAUGUCGGCAUGACGAAACUGGGGAAAGAAGAAAGACAAUUCAUGGGUAAUAUGCUGUCAUAGAGCACUUGUAUUUGUCUUUGCUGCUACCAUAUGCUGCAGGUCAUUGGGGUGGGACUGUUCUAAUCUGACUAGUUUUGAACCCAAAUGUAAACAAUAUUUGGGGUCUGGAUCGAAGAGAGGACUCCUUCCUAUCUCCUUCCGCACAAGAUUCGUUGGAGUUAUUUCCCAGUUCCCACACGAGGCAGAACUGUCUGUGCCUCUGUCUCUGUCUCUCUUUGUGCUAUAUAGAUAAAGAUUUCAUUGAUGAGAAUCUGACAUUAAGAGCGUUGCAAUGACUCGUAGUGCUCCACUUCUUAUUCAUGUCCUCUUCCUUUCUUUACUUCCUUUGACAAUCACAUCUUCACCCACAAUAGAAGCAGAAUGCCUUCUCAAAUGGAAGAACAGCUUAAUUUCUUCUCUUUCUCUCAAUUCAUCAUGGUCCCUCACCAACAUUGGGAACCUCUGCAACUGGACAGGUAUUGCUUGUGAUACCACCGGAAGCGUCUCUGAGAUAAACCUCUCAGAGACAGAGCUCGAAGGAACGCUUGCUAAGUUUGAUUUCAGUUCAUUCCCUGGUCUCACUGACUUCAAUCUCGGCACCAACAAACUCAAUGGAUCUAUACCCUCUAUGGUCGCCAACCCCUCCAAUCUCAUCUUCUUGGACUUGAGCAACAACAUUUUUUUUAUUUUUUUUAUGGCAACAUCACUUCAGAGAUUGGAGGGUUGACAGAGCUUCAGUAGCUCAGCUUUUACAACAACUGUCUCGUUGGUACCAUCCCCUACCAGAUUACUAAUCUCCAAAAGAUAUGGUACUUGGACCUUGGAUCCAACUACUUACAAUCUCCAGACUGGUCUAAGUUUUCGAGCAUGCCUCUGAUGACACACUGAGCUUCAACUACAACAAACUUGCAUCAGAAUUCCCGGGGUUCACAACCGAUUGCCGUAACCUGACAUACCUCGACUUGGCACAGAAUCAACUGACUGGUGCAAUACCAGAGUCGGUAUUUAGCAAUCUGAGCAAGCUUGAAUUCCUCAAUGUCACUGAUUCAUUCCGGGGGCCAUUGUCAUCCAACAUUUCCAGGCUUUCCAACCUCCAAAAUCUUCACCUAGGAAGAAACCAAUUCAGUGGUCCAAUUCCUGAAGAAAUUGGUACUCUCUCUGAUCUUCAAAUGUUAGAAAUGUACGACAAUUCAUUUGAAGGGCAUUGCUUCUUCUCUAGGUCAGCUCAGAAAGCUUCAGAUACUCAAAACUCCAAAUAAAUGCCUUGAAUUCUACAAUUCCAUCUGAGCUUGGCUCUUGUACUAAUCUCACCUUCUUGUCUCUAGCUGUGAACUCACUCUCUGGGGUGAUUCCUUCUUCCUUCACCAAUCUUAGCAAGAUAUCCGAGUUGGGUUUGUCAGACAACUUUUUAUCUGGUAAGAUCUCACUUUAUUUGAUCACUAAUUGGACUGAAUUGAUCUCUUUGCAAGUCAAGAGCAAUAGCUUCACUGGAGGAAUCCCAUCUGAGAUUGGCCUUUUGGAAAAGCUGAAUUACCUUUUCCUGUUUGAUAAUGGGUUCUAUGGCUCAAUCCCAUCAGAGAUUGGGAACUUGAAAGAGUUGUACAAAACCAGCUCUCGGGUCUAAUCCCUCCAGUAGAGGGGAAUCUCACAAAACUCACACUCUUACAACUUUAUGAAAACAAUCUCAGUGGAACAGUUCCUCCAGAGAUUGGGAAUCUGACAUCACUGACUGUUCUUGAUCUCAGCACUAACAAAUUGCAUGGAGAGCUUCCAGAGACAUUGUCACUCCUCAAUAAACUAGAGACACUCUCUGUGUUCGCCAACAAUUUCUUAGGCACCAUUCCAACCGAACUUGGGAAGAACAGCCCCAAUUUGAUGAAUGUCAGUUUUGCCAACAACAGAUUCUCAGGAGAAUUGCCUCCUGGAUUAAGUAAUGGCUUUGCUUUUCAACAUUUAACUGUAAAUGAAGGCAACAACUUCACAGGACCGUUGCCAGAGUGCUUGAUGAACUGCACAAGGCUAUUUCGAGUCCGUCUUGAAGGGAACCAAUUCACCGGAGACAUUUCCAAGGCAUUUGGAGUUCAUCCAAGUCUCAAUUUUAUUUCUCUGAGUGGCAAUCGAUUUUCAGGUGAGCUUUCACCUGAGUGGGGGGAAUGUCAAAGCCUCACCAGCUUGCAGGUGGAUGGGAAUAAAAUUUCUGGAGAAAUCCCAGCUGAGCUUGGGAAAUUGUCACAACUGGAGUUUCUAAGACUGGAUUCCAAUGAAUUGAGUGGGUAAAGUCCAGUGGAACUAGUGAUUUUAAGCCGAUUGUUCAACCUCAGCUUGAGUAGAAAUCAUUUGACAGGAGACAUCCCCCAGUUCACAGGCAAUUUAACCAAUCUUCAGUAUCUGAAUUUAGCAGGAAACGAAUUUCAGUGGAAGCAUACCCAAAGAGCUGGGGAAUUGUAAGCGCUUGUUGAGCUAGAACUUGGGCAGCAAAGAUUUGUCAGGUGAAAUACCGUCAGAGCUUGGAAACUUGUUCACCUUGCAGUACCUUUUGGAUCUCAGUGGCAAUUCGCUCUCUGGGACAAUCCCUUCAAACCUGGGGAAGCUUGCCUCAUUGGAGAACCUGAAU